rnacentral:rRNA from 1 species
GCGCGCAAAUUACCCAAUCCUGACACGGGGAGGUAGUGACAAUAAAUAACAAUACCGGGCGCGUUAGUGUCAGGUAAUUGGAAUGAGUACAAUCUAAAUCCCCUAACGAGGAUCCAUUGGAGGGCAAGUCUGGUACCAG